AUGCUUUGGAAAGUACUCUCACUAUCAGGUAUGAGCAAACUCUCUAAACUUAAUCAGUUUUACAAACAAAGAAGUAAGAAAAGUUGGGCUAAGGAUGGAGACCGCAAUACUAAGUUUUUUCAUCAAGUUGUGGUCAAGCAUAGAAAGAGGAAUACUAUUUGUUCUGUUAAGGCUGAAAAGGACAUGAUGCAUUUUAAGCCCACUGCUAUCACUAACACUUUGAUUACCUAUUUCCGUAAUUCUGAGAGACCUUACCCUCGUUCUCAUUGGCCUAAUGAUUCCCUAGAUCCUACUUAUGCUCUUACAGAUAAAUAGGAGGUAUUGCAUAUUCUCAAGGAGAUGGAAUUAAAUGCUUCUCUAGGGCUGGAUGGGUUCAAUGUGGAGUUUUAUUUGGCAGCUUGGGACUGGAUAGGUGAUGAAGUUACGCAGCUUUUCACUAAUUUUUAUAAUACUAGUAUUUUGCCUCCUCAUAUUAAUGACACAAAUAUUGCACGUAUUCCAAAAAAACUUGAGCCUCAGGUUCCCAUGGAUUACCGACCUAUUAGUCUUUGUAACAUUGUGUAUAAGAUCAUUGCGAAGUCUCUUGCUAAUAGGAUUAAAUUGCAUUUGCCUGAUUAUAUUGAUCCUGCUCAGCAAGCUUUUAUUGAGGGUAUACGCAUUAGUGAUAAUAUCAUCAUUGCCCAAGAAAUCACGCACUCUUUCUCUCUUAAAUCUUAG
rnacentral:rRNA from 1 species